rnacentral:tRNA from 1 species
UGGCUCAGUAGUUAAGAGCACUGGCUACUCUUCCAGAGGACCUGGGUUCAACUCCCAG